rnacentral:miRNA from 1 species
UUAAAAAUCAUUUUUAUUGUUAUUUUACGGUUAAAAAAAAUACAUGGCAUGACUAUAAAGUAAUGAGACGAGUUUUCAUGUGUGACUUGUACUAUGGAGUCUCAUUAGUAUAUAGUCACAUCCUGUCU